UACGUAGGGACCUAGCGUUGUCCGGAAUCAUUGGGCGUAAACGCGCGUAGGCGGCCCGGUAAGUCCGUUGUAAAAGUCGAAGGCUCAACCUUCGAAAGCCGAUGGAUACUGCCGGGCUAGAGUACGGAAGAGGCGAGUAGAAUUCCUGGUGUAGCGGUGGAAUGCGCAGAUAUCAGGAGGAAUACCCAUAGCGAAGGCAGCUCGCUGGACGUUACUGACGCUGAGGCGCGAAAGCGUGGGGGAGCGAACAGG
rnacentral:rRNA from 1 species